UACGGAGGGGGCAAGCGUUGUUCGGAAUCAUUGGGCGUAAAGAGUAUGUAGGCGGCUAUUUAAGUCAGACGUGUAAGCCCACGGCUCAACCGUGGAAUUGCGUUUGAAACUAUUUAGCUUGAGUGCAGGAGAGGAAGGCGGAAUUCCCAGUGUAGCGGUGAAAUGCAUUGAUAUUGGGAAGAACACCGGUGGCGAAGGCGGCUACCUGGUCCGGAUCUGACGCUGAGGCGCGAAAGCGUGGGGAGCAAACAGG
rnacentral:rRNA from 1 species